rnacentral:lncRNA from 1 species
GCAGGAGGGGAGAUUCCAGGCAGAGGAAACUGUUUGAGGUAAAGAAAACAAAAAACACAAAACCCAGCAUGGUGCGUACUGGAGAUGCAGAUGCUGUGGCUCAAAGGAUUAAUUAAUUUGCUUAAGAUAAUGCAACACGAGAAAAGCAGAUCAGGACCGAAUUCCAGAACGAUUUUGCUUGAAAUAACACUACUACUAAUUGUC